AUACGUAGGGUGCGAGCGUUGUCCGGAAUUACUGGGCGUAAAGAGCUCGUAGGUGGUUUGUCGCGUCGUCUGUGAAAUUCCGGGGCUUAACUCCGGGCGUGCAGGCGAUACGGGCAUAACUUGAGUACUGUAGGGGAGACUGGAAUUCCUGGUGUAGCGGUGAAAUGCGCAGAUAUCAGGAGGAACACCGGUGGCGAAGGCGGGUCUCUGGGCAGUAACUGACGUUGAGGAGCGAAAGCAUGGGUAGCGAACAGGAUUAGAUACCCUGGUAGUCCAUGCCGUAAACGGUGGGCGCUAGGUGUAGGGGUCCUCCACGACUUCUGUGCCGUAGCUAACGCAUUAAGCGCCCCGCCUGGGGAGUACGGCCGCAAGGCUAAAACUCAAAUGAAUUGACGGGG
rnacentral:rRNA from 1 species